rnacentral:rRNA from 2 species
UACGAAGGGGGCGAGCGUUGUUCGGAGUUACUGGGCGUAAAGGGCGCGUAGGCGGCGAUCCAAGUUAGGCGUGAAAGCCCCGGGCUUAACCUGGGAAUUGCGCUUAAGACUGGACUGCUUGAGUGCGGGAGAGGUGAGUGGAAUUCCCAGUGUAGAGGUGAAAUUCGUAGAUAUUGGGAAGAACACCAGUGGCGAAGGCGGCUCACUGGCCCGCAACUGACGCUGAGGCGCGAAAGCGUGGGGAGCAAACAGG